rnacentral:rRNA from 1 species
AUUGAACGCUGGCGGCAGGCCUAACACAUGCAAGUCGAACGGUAACAGGAAACAGCUUGCUGUUUCGCUGACGAGUGGCGGACGGGUGAGUAAUGUCUGGGAAACUGCCUGAUGGAGGGGGAUAACUACUGGAAACGGUAGCUAAUACCGCAUAACGUCGCAAGACCAAAGAGGGGGACCCUCGGGCCUCUUGCCAUCGGAUGUGCCCAGAUGGGAUUAGCUUGUUGGUGGGGUAACGGCUCACCAAGGCGACGAUCCCUAGCUGGUCUGAGAGGAUGACCAGCCACACUGGAACUGAGACACGGUCCAGACUCCUACGGGAGGCAGCAGUGGGGAAUAUUGCACAAUGGGCGCAAGCCUGAUGCAGCCAUGCCGCGUGUAUGAAGAAGGCCUUCGGGUUGUAAAGUACUUUCAGCGGGGAGGAAGGGAGUAAAGUUAAUACCUUUGCUCAUUGACGUUACCCGCAGAAGAAGCACCGGCUAACUCCG